CCCAGGCCCCGCCUCCACAGCGGCGUCCCGCCCCACCCACACCUCGCCUCGGCCCCUAAGCUCCGCCCACUCCCCGCCCCUGAGGUCCAUCUGGGGCCUCGCCCGGCGAUCUGGGACUGGGGAGGACCCUGCUGACUUCCAGGAAAAAGAAUGCCUGUGUUUCGAAGUUCCUUCUUAGGACGAAACCAGCUGAAGCUGGCGAAAUCCAAGAUGGCGCCUCUGAAGAGCCUCUGGCUUUAUCAUCAUCCUGUUCUCAUGCUAAACAACAUGUCGCCAUGACAACGACUGGAAGAGACCAAGAAGGGACAGAAAAAAAGGGGUUUCUUGAUUCCGGGAAAAAUCUCCGUUCUUUCCCAAGGAAAGCACGAAUAUUCCCCCCCGUGCUCUUAAUGCCCAGCCCCUUCAUUAAAGACACCCUACCUCUGAAACUUCCCAGCUCUCACAAGCUAAGUUGAUUUCAGAUCUUCCAAUUCCAUAGCCAUUGAAUACAGCCUGCACUGCUUGACACACUCCCUUUCGGUUUCGUGCAUUGGCCUCACCACGCAACAGGAAACAACCCUUUUUGGGAUAACCGGGACUCCCGGUAACAUUUCCAUAUAUACAUAUCUUAAUGUAUGCAAGGGCGUCUGGGGGAGAAAGAAGCAGCACAUUUCAUUCUUUGCUUUCUAUAAUACUGGAUUGCUUGAGUUUGUG
rnacentral:lncRNA from 1 species